GAUUGCCGCGUUUUGUACGCUUUUAUGUGUCAACACAAUGAUACAAAACUUCUCUGUGCGUCGAUGCAGCUGCUUGAAAAUUUUUUAAUAACGUAUAAUGUUUGCACAUACAAAUUUAUAUUAAGACAAGGCGAAAUGACUUACGAGUGGUGGUUCUAUUCUUCCAAUAAUAUAUUACCCGCUGCGCAGCAAGAAAGAACGUCGUUAAUCAAUGAUAGAAGGAAAAAGGGUUUGCAAGAAAUUAUACGUAGCAGCAUAUUUACUCGAACAAGAAGAUAUUGACGCACAGAGAAGUUUUGAGAUAUAUCAUUACGUUGACACACAAAAGCGUACAAAACUGCGUUGAUCUCAUCUGUGUGGAUAGUUUAAUUAAUCGCUCGAAUGAAGAAUGGAGCUGGAACCGCCGACGAAUGCAAUACACGUAUAUGUAUGUUAUAUAUCUGAAAUGCAACUGCAUGUGCACAAUGUCAACAGGCCAUUACGCGGUGUGAUUCACGAGUGCGCGGAGGGACGCUAAAACGAUUCCUUAUUAAAUCCGUGACAUAAAUAUAUAAGAGGAAAGAAUAUCGCAAUGUUGAUGUGGCUCAACAUGCGUCCGCAAGUGUUGCAGAGAGAACCUGGUAUCCAAGAACUAUAACUAUAUUUCACCACAUCAAAGGGUCUAACUGAAGUGAUUUAAUUAGUGCUGAAGGGCAGAGAGAUUCUACGGAACAAAUGAAGAUCCAAAAUUGAUUUUAAUGGUCUGCAAAUGGGAACGGUGCAAAAACAAACGGCGCUCUUGGAUUUACAUAGGUAACCUCAGUAUUAAUUAAGAUCAACGAUCAUUAGAGUGUAUAGACAUUUCUUUCUACAUAUCAUACGGAAAUGUCAGAAGAGAUGCAAAAAUAAUUUGGGAUCGCUAGUUAAAAGCAUUACUCUUAUUAUCUUUUCAAAAUGAAUGAUUUCUUCCUUGGAGAUCUUUUCGUGAUAUAUUAAAAGAGAUUGCAAAAUGUACGUACAAUUCUUUACAUACUUCUACAUUUAUACAUUCUGAAUAAUUGUACGAUAAAAAAUUAAAAUCACCAUUGUAAAAUGCAGAUAAUUAUACGAUUUAAAAAUCGAGAA